rnacentral:lncRNA from 13 species
GCCUUCUGCCAUGAUUUUACGUUUCCAGAGGCCUCCUAUGCCAUGGCCCCUGUAUAGCCUGCAGAACUCUUGCAGAGGGUCUAUUGUGGGACUUCACCUUGUGAUCAUGUGAGUCAAUUGUCCUUAAUAAACUCCCUUUCAUAUAUACA